AGCAGCCGCGGUAAUUCCAGCUCCAAUAGCGUAUAUUAAAGUUGUUGCAGUUAAAAGGCUCGUAGUUGAAUUUCGGGGUCAGUAGAUUGGUCAUGCCUCCGGUAUGCACUGGUCUUACUGGCUCCUCCUUCCUGAUGAACCGUAAUGCCAUUAAUUUGGUGUUGCGGGGAGACUGGACUGUUACUUUGAAAAAAUUAGAGUGUUUAAAGCAGGCUAACGCUUGAAUACAUUAGCAUGGAAUAAUGAAAUAGGACGUUCGAUCCUAUUUUGUUGGUUUCUAAGAUUGACGUAAUGAUUAAUAGGGAUAGUUGGGGGCAUUAGUAUUCAAUUGUCAGAGGUGAAAUUCUUGGAUUUAUUGAAGACUAACUACUGCGAAAGCAUUUGCCAAGGANGUUUUCAUUAAUCAAGAACGAAAGUUAGGGGAUCGAAGACGAUCAGAUACCGUCGUAGUCUUAACCAUAAACUAUGCCGACUAGGGAUCGGAUGAUGUAAUUUUUAAUGA
rnacentral:rRNA from 1 species